AGUUCUCCAGCGCCCUCUGUGGCGGCUGAGAGCAGGCCCUCUAAGGAAGAGAGCUCCGGGCAUAGAGAGCUCAGGCCUGCAGCAGAGGGAGUGCAGAUGUGGGGGAAGCUGACCCUGGAGUUAACAGGCUCAGACCUUAAAGGGGGUAGUCUCACAGCAGGUUCACACCCAGCACUUCAGAGUUUCAGCAAGUAAGGCAACUGCAAGACCCUCAUUCUGCCGGGAAGCUUCUGAUUAGGGCCCUAAACCACCAUCCUUUUCACAUCUGCAAGGACACUAGAGGCAACACCCAGGGUCACUCUGAGAGGGCCUGAACCUGCUUUAUUAACAGGAUCGAGGGUCAGAUACAACAAAGAGAGGACAAUACUGGCACUAGACUGAAAAGAUUCAUGGAACACAGUGGAAAGUCCAGAAAGAGAGCCACGUGACCGAAGUAAGUCGUGAUGCAGGAAAUGAGUGCGUUUCACAGCUUGCUGAGCCCCUACUCGACCCAGGAAGCCCAGCUGGCCCCUCCUCUCAACAGGAGUGAGAAUCAGCUCAAAUUUUGCAGUUUCUGCUGUCAUCACAGCUGGGAAUGAGAAAGGGAAGGGGCUCCAGUUGGUCUCCCUCUGCCUCUGGAGCACACGUGGAGGACAUGAGGCUUCCGCAGGAACAGCUCUGAAAGCUGAGUUCUCGGGUCCCUGUGAAGGAGGGAAGCUUGCCUGCCUUGGAGCGUGAAAAAGUCUUGCUGGACAGAAGUCUCACGGUUUAAAACUGGGAAGGGAGAGGAUUGAGAUCACACUAGAAUGCACAGAAAAUUCUUAAAACAAAAAAAUGAGAGAAACUUCAUCAGAAUGUGAAAAGAACUAUAAAGCUACAGUGCUGAAGAGAGGGCAAUACUGGCACUAGAAUGAGAAGAUUCAUGGAACACAGUGGAAAAUGCAGUAAGAGAGCUGCAUGAAGCCUCUGAUUAGGGCCCGGAACCAACUUCCUUUUCGCAUCUGCAGACUCAUGGAGGCAACCACUCAAGGCCACUCUGAGAAGGGUUGAACGUGCUUUAAAUUAAAAGGACUGAGGAUCAUGUGUGUUGGUGUGUCCUGGACUCUGCUCUAAGAGCUGCACGGGGGCUUGGAUCAAUGCCUGAAUCCAGUGUUCCUGAGUGCAGAGCAUCUUUGCUCUGGGUGAGCUUUGACCAUCCUGGAGAAGAAGGCUGCUGCGGGGGUGGGACAAAGCCAAGACCAAUGCCCAGCGGCCAAGGCCAGCCAGAUGGCUCUGUGCUGGCAGCCAGUGUACACGGAUUUUACCUGAAGGAAAAUGUCACAUUUUCCACAGACAACUGAAGAAAGAGAGCUCUUUGGAUUACCCUAAUUGUGAUUUACUCAUUGGAACCACUGUUUUGGAUUGUCCAAAAUUAAGUCUCAAAGCUUAAAUAUGAGGCUUCAGGGAGUUAUCCUGAAAUCAGUGCUUGGUAUCUUCUUGUUUUUUGCUUGUUUUUUAAAACCUUAAUUCUCAUAUUUUUCUGUCAUAUUUCUCAGUGCCUGGUACAUUAUCACCAUUAAUCCAUGCCAGUUAUGUACAGUUUUGCAUGUUUGUUUUUUAUUUUACUCUUUUCUCUCCUUCAUUCCCUAUUCCUGUUCCCCCAUAGGUGCCCAGUCUAAUGUAUUUGAUAUCUGUCCUUAGAGCCUCCGUAUCUGUGAAGACUAGAGUCAUGCACUUCAUCACAUUUCAGUAACGAUGGGCCGCAUGUACCACAGUCCCAUGAGAUGAUAGAGGUGCAGAAAAAUUCCUGUCAUCUAGUGACAUCGUAGCCAUCAUAACAUCACAACACGACUCUCAUUUGUGGUGACCCUGGUGUACACAAACCUACUGUACUGCCAGUUGUAUAAAAGUCUAGCACAUCCAGCUACGCACAGUACAUACUUGAAAAUUAUAAUAAAUGACCAUGUUACUGGUUUAUGUAAUUACUAUAUUAUACUUUUUAAUCAUUAUUUUAGAGUGUACAACUUCUACUUGUAAAAAAAAAAAAAGUUAACUGUAAAACAGCCUCAGGCAGGCCCUUCAGUAGGAAUUCCAGAAGAAGGCACUGUUGUCCUAGGAGAUGACAGCUCCAUGUGUGUUACUGCCCUGAUGACCCUCCGUGGGUACAAGAUGUGGAGCUGGACUACAGUGAUAUUGAAGAUCUCGACCCUGUAGGCCUAGGCUAAUGUGUGGCUGUGUCUUGAUUUUUAGCAAAAAUGUUUUAAAAGUGAAAAUGUUAAAAAUAGAAAACAGUUUAUAGAAUAAGGAUAUAAAGAAAAUAUUUUGUACAGCUGUAUAAUUUUUUUUUGUUUUUCUUUUCCUUUUUCUUUUUUUUUUUUGAGACGGAGUCUUGCUCUGUCGCCCAGCUGGAGUGCAGUGGUGUGAUCUCGGCUCACUGCAACCUCUGCCUCCUGGGGUCAAGCGACUCUUCUGCCUCAGCCUCCUGAGUGGCUGGGACUACCGGCAAGUGCCACCAUGCCUGGCUAAUUUUUGUAUUUUUUGUGGAGAUUUUCACCAUCUUGGCCAGGCUGGUCUUGAACUCCUGACCUGGUGAUCCACCCGCCUUGGCCUCCCAAAGUGGUGGGGUUACAGGCGUGAACUACAGGGCCUGGCCUGUUUGUGUUUUAAGCUAAGUGUUGUUAGGAGUCAAAAAGUUAAAAAAUAAAAGUUGCUAAAGUAAAAAAGUUACAGUCAGCAAAAGCUAAUUUAUUAAUGAAGAAAGAAAUGUAUGUUUUGAUCAAUUUAGUGUAGCCUAAGUGUCCAGUGUUUAUAGUCUACAGGAGUGUACAGGAACGUCCUAGGUCUUCACAUCCUCUCACCACUCACUCAUUGACUCACUCACCCAGAGUAGCUUCCAGACCUGCAAGCUCCAUUCAUGGUAACUCCCCUAUACAGGUGUUACAGUACUUAAAAUUUUAUAUCCUAUUUUUACUGUAGGUUGUCUCUGUCUAGAUAUAUUUGGAUACACACAUACUUACCAAUGUGUUACAGUUGCCUGCAGCACUCAGUACAGUAACAUGCUGCACAGCUUUGUAACCUAGAAACAACAGGCUACACCUAUAGCCUCUGUGUAGUAGGCUGUGCCAUCUGGGUUUGUGUUCUACAACGUUGCAUUCUACAAUGUUCACACAAGGAUGAAAUCGCCUAAGGACACAUUUCUCAGAAUGCUUCCUCAUUGUCAAGCAAUGCAUGACUGUAUAUAGAAUUGUUCAUAAAUACUGUGUUUUUCAUCCAUGUAAAUGGCAUGCCAUUUCUACCUAUCCACGUCUGCACACCAGCUCAUGCCCCUCAUUCAUGCUCCUUUCUGCUGCUCACCGCUCCACAGCUGGCAGCCCCUGCAUUCCAUCCAUCCAUUCCCCCAAACAUGGGCAUGUUGCUAUCAGCAGGGAGCUGUGAUGGACCCCUCACAGGGUCCUCUUAUUCCUCGUGCAAGCCUUUCCCUGGGAAGUUCCUCCCAGCAUUGCUGGUCAGGGGGAACACACACUCACAUCUUCACUAAAUGCUACCAGUGCUAUGGUGUUAUCAGAAACUUUAUUUAUUUAUUUUUUGCCAAUAUGAUAGCUAUCAAGCUACCCCAUCUCUACUAAAAAUACAAAAUUAGGCCUUUAGUAGAAACCCUGUCUCUAGUAAAAAUACAAAAAUUAGCUGGGCAUGGUGGCACACACCUGUAAUACCAGCUACUUGGUGGCUGAGGCAGGAGAAUUGCUUGAACCCAGGAGGCAGAAGCUGCAGUGAGCCAAGAUCGCACCACUGCACUCUAGCCUGGGCAACAGAGAACCUGUCUUAAAAACAAAAACAAAAAAAAUGGCACAGGUCUGAUUAUUAGGAAGCUGAGGUUCUUUUUUAUACUUAGUAUUCACUGAAGUGUGAAUUACCUUUCAUGUCCUCUAAACAUACCAACAAGGAGGCUGGAGUUAGGACUUAUGUUAGAGCCAGCCUGCCUGGGGCACAGCCUGGCCCUGCCAUUUAUUGACUGUGUGACUUUGAGAAAGCUUCCUCAUGUAACUCUAUCUUAGCUUCCCUGCCUGUAAUAAGUAAAAACAGCAACUACCUCAUAGAUUUGUAAAGAUUACAUAAAAUAAUACAUGCAAUGCAUGGCAAACGACAGUCAACGAAUGUUAUUAUUAUAUUAACUAUUGCCAUAUUAUAAAUAUAAAUAAAUAUAAAUGAUAUAAACAAACUAAUAAUAGUAAUUAUUCAUUUAUUCUUGACUUGAAUGAGAUCCUUGUGUACUU
rnacentral:lncRNA from 1 species